CCACCAACAGCUAUGUCCUCCAAACCUCAUUUUCCGUGGUCUUUCUUAAAGUCUCCAUAUUUGAAAUGGUCAGUUUGUUACUGCUGCCAAAGACUGAAAGCAAUGUGAGCUAAUUAUAGAGAGGGAGUUUGCCUAACAGAAGGGCUUUUCACUAGCAGCUGAAGGGGGCUGUUUCCCUUUUGCAUUGGUGAUAGCUUGAUGGGAUUCAAAAAGUACACAGUAGCCUUUAAUAAUUUCUAACUUGGGCUCACACAAGAAAGCACUUAAUGAAGGGGGACUUAGAUUGCAAGGCAGGAUAGGAAUAUCUGUGUUGGACGAUGUGCUAAGGCAGCUAAAUGAGUAUCAUUUGGACAAAAUGGGUGCGUAAAUAGCAGAAAAGACUCACAGAAGCAGUAUUCCUCUUUGAGAUAAUCAGAAUUCCAAGUGUCAACUAAAUAGGUGAAAGCAACUUGCACAGGAGUGAUCUAUUCAGACAAUGAAGUUGAAUAUUACCCACACUGACAUCAGCCAGUAUGACAUGGUAUUGAGGGGAAAGGCAGAGGAUGUGGAGCGGAGGAAGGUAUUGUUACAUCACGUGCAGCCAGGGAAGGUUUCUUUGUAGCAGCAAUGUAAGGAUUUGGUUUUUGUGUUUUCCUCUCAAGGUAUUUUUUUUAAACCUCUAAUCUGAGAUCAUGCCAGUUUACCCCAGGAAUGGCAAUUUGUGUCUUCUUACUCUCUAUGCCUCCCCUCAUGGCUCCCCAUCUAAAGAGGCCAUAGUGCCCAGCUAUGAAGUGCUCAGAGACCCAAGUUCCAACUCCAGUGAGGCUCUUGUCUUACACCAUCACAGCACCACAUGCAUGAAGGAGCCAGAACCUUUCUGGGGAUUUGCCCUCAAGCUGGAAGCUGGUGGAUCUCGGAGCCGAAUGUCCUUAUUUGUUGAGCAGAAGAGCAGCUCUGAAGUGUCCUCGGGGAUGUCUGAGGAUGUGUGAAGACAAAUGAACAAAGAGUAAUCUCCUCUGAAGAUGUCCAAGAAGAAGCUGAUUAUUUACUCAGAGGGAGAUGGCAAAGGAAGUAUCAGCGAUGAAAAGAGCAAGCCAUUAUGGGUGGAUGCCUUGCAGAAGAGAUGAGAUUUCCUACCCUCGUGGAUAAUUUUGAGUUCCUUCAAAUAUUUCAGACCAAAGGACCUCUUUUCCUUCAAUGCUUUUUUCUUGAUAAAACAACAACAACAACAACAACAACAACAACAACAACAACUCUGCACUAAACUGUCUCUAUGAUGAUCAUGGAUUUAACCACUAGUUGCUAUUACUUGGGAGUGAUUUUUCCACAUGGCAUAGCAAAUUCUUGAACUAAUUUCCAUGGCUGCCACAGGACCAGUCAUAAUGCUUGGUUCUAGUAAGUGGAGGGAUGGUACUAGAAUGAGCAGCUGGUCAAUGCCUUCUGCUUCAAUCUUCUAUUUUGGUCCUGAUGUUCUGGGUGCCUCUUGCUGGCCUCACCCUAUUCCUAAGGAAGUCUUUGAUUUUUCCACUUCCCUUUAUUUCAUUUUUUUAUCAACUAAAAGUUGGAUUUUAGUUGAUAAAAAAAAUAGCACUUAACAGCAGAAACCCCUGAAAAGGAAGAUGUCUUUCUCCUUGUCCACUCAAAAAGCAACUGCCCUUUGCAGGUGAUGUGAUAUAGGAAGUAAAAUACUGAGGUUCAUGGAUAAGAAGGUAGAGUCAGAUAUCACUGAAGAAAGUCCAUCUUGUGAAAUGAAUAUUUAAUACACCUUUAUUAGAAUAUAAUUCCAAUUAGGUUAGAGGUCUUCAUCUACUUUACUCACUGAUAUAUCCUGGGCACCUUAGACAAUCAGUGUAUGUCAUGUGACUGUGCCAGACCAGGUCUUUAGGAAACAAACUGUCUCAGAGAGGCGGCAAAUGGGGAGGUAGGAGAUGUAGUUCAAAAGAUUUUACAAGUUUAUAUAAAUGUAUACAAGAUUUUAUAAGUUUCUAUAUUUAUGUAAGCUUAAAAUGCAUUUGAAACAUAGAGGAGAACAUGACUGAUUGUGCCUUUGGAGGGGCUGUGGUGGCUCUAGAGAGAAGCUAAAAUUGUCAAUGGGUAUUUAAGGACAGGUCCUUUCUUAGGGAGUCAUGGGUAUGUGAGUGUGAUGAGGGGUGAUAAAAGUUAUAAAAAAUUAAAUAGGAUAAGGGGUUACAGGGUAACUGAGAGGCUAUUUUAACUAGGGUGGGCAGGAAAAGGCUGUAUGUGGCAGAGACAUUUCAGCAGAAGCCUGAAAGAAGUGAGAGAAUGAGCUUUGGGUGUGAUUCUGUAGUUUUCCUUUAAACCCAUUUAGAGGCAGUGCUGUUAGCAUUGGAGAAGCAAGGAGAGGUGAUCCUUCAGGUGACUGCAGUCAUUUUUAGGAAAGAGACUGGGCAAAUUGCAAACUGAACUCACACACUGAACUUUGUUAAUGUAAUUACUCCAUCCAGGGUCCGGUGGCUCAGUGGUAGGACUGGGUUUGGGUUGAAGAGAAGGUACACCAACGACUGGGACAGGUGGAAGGAACCUGCUUCUUCAGCUCCUAAAGGGAAAAUUCACUUUGUAGGAAAAGCUCUUACAGCUGCUGGAGAAUAUCUAUCACAUGCUGAAUGACGUAUCCAGAUAAAAAGUAGAUUUUUACAUGCUCUUUGGGGACAGAGUUACAGAGCUUUCUAUGAACGUGUUUUGGGUGGAGUGAUCAUGAAUGUCAGCUUGCCUCAGCUGACUUGUAAUAAGAGUACAAAAGCCUUCCAUGGUUGCAUUGCAGGUAUUUAUAGAUUCUUCUUGCUCUAUUUUAUAGCACUUGCUGCUGAUGAAGUAUGCUGUGAAGGGAGUCUUGUUAAACACUGUCAGCACUCCAACUGGUCUAGAAGCCUGUCGCAUAUUAAAUGUUUUAUAGCUGAACUUUAUUACACUCAAACUUCACAGAGACAUUUAUGAACCUUAUUGCAUCCUGAUAUGAAACGAGGCCACAGAGGUAUUUCUGAUUUUAUGGGAAUGGAACUUUUCAUUGUAUGGAACUUUCACAAAGCUAUUGAACUCUAGAGUUCAAAGUGACUUUACAAAUGUUAAUUUCUCUAGGGAUCUUUGGGACCUUAAAAAAACUGCUGAUGACUUCUACAUCUUGCAUCUAACUUUUUUUUUUUUUCAUUUGGAAAACAUGUACAGUUGCCUCAGUAAAAGGAAUGUGUGGAGUUUGUGGUUGAUGCUGUAUUCAUGCCAUGGUAAGAAGAGAGACCUUGUUUAUUGCUACAGGAGACAUAUAAGGAAAAUAAAAGGAGGAAAAUAUCAUUUAAUAGAUAAACAGUCAUGCCCAGCUUGACGUUUUUCUAAGCCCUUCAAGGACACACAUUCCUGAAGUUCUGUGAGUCAGUCUUUAUAUUUGGAACAUUAACUAUUAACUUUCCUUUGUAAGGAGAUUUUGUGCAAUGCCAACCAGAAGAAACUGCAGUCUUUCCAGGCCUCAUUUGCUCACGAUUCAUUCAUUCCAUAUUCACUGAAUUGUUACUUUGUGUUAGACAUUGUUCUAGGGAAAGACAUGAUCAAAGACAUAAUUCUCAAUGAAUUUAUGGUUAGUCCCAGUUGACUAAGCAAAGACAUAUGAUAUGUACAGACUGCUAUCUGAUUACAGAUGAAAAAAUCUAAAUUAGGAUGUGUUGUGUAUACAGCAUGUUCACAUGGGGGAACAUCAGUAGAGACUUCUGAGGGGUAGCAACACCUGAACUGAGUUUUUAGGGAUGAAUAGGAGUUAGGCAGAGAAAUGCUGAUGUUGUUAUUCAUGCACAUCAUCAUAGUAGGUGAGGGAAGGAUAGACAUGUUUUGAGAUAGCCUGAAAGAUCUGCUUAGAAAAGUGAAACUCAGAAUGAGGGUCUACUUCCCAGGGGUAUGAGCCAUGCUAACCCUGGCUCUUAAGUAUGUAAUCAUCCUAUUAUCUCACUGUGCUUAUUUAUUGCUUUAAUAGUCUUAUUAUUUGCAUGGUAUCUAUGGUUUAUACAUUAUUUUCAUGUGCUUUACACAAUUUAAUCUUUAUGGAAGCUUGGUGAAAUGGGUAUUAUUGUUACUUUAUAGAUAAAGAAAUGAAUCAGAGCUAUCCAGUGGCCCUACCCACGGUUACAUAGUUAGAGAGUGGCUUAACUGGGCCUGGAAAGAAGCCCUUUCAACUCCUAUUCUGAGCUUAUCUGUUAUAUCAUAGGACCUUUAUUGGUCAUUUUUAUUAAUUGAUUCAAUAUGCAUUCUUUCAAUACUAUUUAUAUGCAUGUAUUUAUUCAAUAGGCAUUUAUUGAGCAUAUAUUCUACGCCAGGCAGGCACUGUUCUAGGUUCUGGGAUAUAACAGUGAAAAAAAAGGUAAUUUAAGAUUGUGACAGAUACUAUAAAAAUAAACAUGAUGGCAUGAGAAUGAUUGGAGGCAGGGUCUACAUUUAGUAUUUAGAUGGUUGCUUUUAUUUACUUGGCCCUCCAAUUAUAUCCAGGAUUUAUUUCUCUCUGGGUGCUCACAUGAUGUUUGUUAUUCAGUAAAACUUGCUAGGCAUUUCCACGUAUAAACCACCACAUGAGACUCUUCCAUUAAUUUUGUCAAUUUAGAAGAAAUAAAGGGAGCUUCCAUUUGUCAUGGGACCAGCAUGUGUCGGGUUCUUUGGCAUACAACUUACUAGUCUCAUUCCAGAGAUGCUGGUGGAGUCUUUCAAAGCACCAGGAUUCUCUCCCAGCUGAUUCUUUUGUUGCU